rnacentral:rRNA from 1 species
UACGUAGGGGGCUAGCGUUGUCCGGAUUUAUUGGGCGUAAAGAGCGUGUAGGCGGCCAGGUAGGUCUGCUGUGAAAACUCGAGGCUCAACCUCGAGAUGUCGGCGGAAACCAUCUGGCUAGAGUCCGGAAGAGGAAAGUGGAAUUCCUGGUGUAGCGGUGAAAUGCGCAGAUAUCAGGAAGAACACCCGUGGCGAAGGCGGCUUUCUGGGACGGUACUGACGCUGAUGCGCGAAAGCGUGGGUAGCAAACAGG